UACGUAGGGGGCAAGCGUUGUCCGGAUUUAUUGGGCGUAAAGAGCGUGUAGGCGGCCUGACAGGUCUGCUGUGAAAACUCGAGGCUCAACCUCGAGAUGUCGGCGGAAACCGUCUGGCUAGAGUCCGGAAGAGGAGAGUGGAAUUCCUGGUGUAGCGGUGAAAUGCGCAGAUAUCAGGAGGAACACCGGUGGCGAAGGCGGUUCUCUGGGCCUUACCUGACGCUGAGGAGCGAAAGCGUGGGGAGCAAACAGG
rnacentral:rRNA from 1 species